ensembl:snRNA LOC120102107 U2 spliceosomal RNA
AUCACUUCUCGGCCUUUUGGCUAAGAUCAAGUGUAGUUUCUUUUCUUAUCAGUUUAAUAUCUGAUAACAUCCUCUAUCUGAGGACAAUAUAUUAAAUGGAUUUUUGGAGUAGGAGUUGGAUUAGGAGCUUGCUCUGUCUACUCCAUGCAUCGACCUGGUAUUGCACCUCCAGGAAUUGUGCACCCCCU